AUGCAAUUUACAACAGUGUUUUAUCCAAGGCAACUCUCUUCUCUUGGCUGCUGGAUUCCAGGACCCAGUUUCCAGAAUGGGCAAGAAGCUUCUUGGAAAGGAAGAAUAAAUGAAGGAUAUAGAACUUUCCAAACAAUCAUGUCAACAGAGAAGAAAGCAGAGACAGAAGUUUCCCUCUUUCAACAUAAAGAGUCAAAACAUGAGGGCCAGGGAUUUAGCUCAGUGGUUUCACCGCCUGCUGCACAAGUGCAAGGACCCGAGUUCGAUCCCCCAGUACCAAAAAAAAGAGUCAAAACAUGGGCUAAUGGGUCUAGUAAAGAACUGCCCUUUAAAUAGUACUAUAUAAGGAGAGCAAGACAGUCAAGUACAUCACAAAAUAGUGCCCACUGCCACGAAAAACUUAAGUAGAAUAUACAAUUGUUGAAGGACAAGAAAGGAUUGAUUACCAGUCUCUGAGAUCCAGUUUUUUGAGCUGCUUAGCAGAUAAUAUCAGGACUACUCUGGGAAUCUACACAACCCUGAGUGCAUGAACUGACUCAUGACUGAACCUCAGGAAAGGGCAAUGCCCUACUGACCCAGUAAGAUCAAUCACAAACUGGAAAUGACACAAUGGAAAGGGAAGCUUAGAUAUCACCUAGUCCUAAAUGAACAAACAAAAUAAUUUAGAAAUGUUAUAACCUGUUCAGAAUUCCUAAUUACAAAAAUAAUUAAAAGCAGUAAGAUUAUUACGGGUUCUCACCUCAAAGAACUAGGACUAGAGGUCCCAUAUGACCCAGCUAUUCCCCUCCUGGGUAUCUUCCCCAAAGAAUUAAAAGAAUCAUACCACAGUGAUACAUGUGCACCCAUGUUCAUAGCAGCACAGUUUGUAAUAGCUAAAGCUUGGAAGCAGCCCAAGUGCCCAUCAACUGGAAACUANNNNNNNNNNNNNNNNNNNNNNNNNNNNNNNNNNNNNNNNNNNNNNNNNNNNNNNNNNNAAUAGUUUCUCUAGUGUGAGAAACUGAUAGUGUAAACAAGGGUUAAAAUGAUUAAAAUGAAUAAUUGAUAAUUUGAAAUAGGAGAAAAGGUCCAAAGACGAAGGAGUGAAGGGAGGGGAAGGGGAAAGAAAAAGAGGGAAAGGAAAAACUAUGAGAAAAGAAAAAAAAUGGAAAUGAAAUCUAUGUAAAUAGGUAAGGGCAGAGGGGGUGAAAGGCGCACAGGUAAUGGGGAAAAAAAUAAGAACCAAUAUAUAUCAUGUACAGGUACAAACAGCCAAUGAUAAAUGUAAAUGAAUUGUACAACUAAAAUGUACCAAAAAAAUGUACCAAUAAAAUUUUUUUUAAAAAUUAUUAUGGGAUCUCAAAAUCCUUACCAUGUCAAAUAUAGUUGAACAGCUGCAGUAGAGGGGGAAAAAACCUUCCCAAUGCUGCAACAAGGGACUCUUUCCUUCACCACAUUAAGACAAAUGGAGGUCCUCUCAACACUCCUCUAAAUUGGUGGAAAAUGAGUGUAAGUUUUCUCUCCUUGCUGUAGGAUUUUAGGUUGGCAAGAA
rnacentral:lncRNA from 1 species